UACGUAGGGUGCGAGCGUUAAUCGGAAUUACUGGGCGUAAAGCGUGCGCAGGCGGUUUUGUAAGCCAGAUGUGAAAUCCCCGGGCUCAACCUGGGAAUGGCAUUUGGGACUGCAAGGCUGGAGUACGGCAGAGGAGACUGGAAUUCCUGGUGUAGCAGUGAAAUGCGUAGAUAUCAGGAGGAAUACCGAUGGCGAAGGCAGGUCUCUGGGCUGAUACUGACGCUCAUGUACGAAAGCGUGGGGAGCAAACAGG
rnacentral:rRNA from 1 species